GCGUUUAUGGCUUAGUGGCAGAGCGUCUGUCUUGUAAACAAAAGGUCGCUGGUUCGAUUCUUGCAUGGGGCA
rfam:Haemonchus contortus, ISE/inbred ISE, WGS project CAVP01000000 data, contig: Hcontortus_contig_pathogens_Hcontortus_scaffold_3380